CUGUCUUCUGUUGCUUGUGUUUUGGACAUUGUAUCUUAGAAAUCAUUUCUUAAUCAUAGUCACAAAUGUCUAUAUCUAUAUUUUCUUUCCAGAGUUUUAUAACUGCAGUUUCUAGGUUCUGGACAAUGAACUCCUUUGAGUUAAUUUUGAGUACCGAGUGAGGUAACGAGCCACACUCAUUCUUCUGCACAGGGGUGUCGGAGUUUGAACACUGCUGGAAAGGUGUAUCAUCACUGAAUCAUCUUUGCAAUUAUCUUGUGGAAGAUCAACUGACCACAAAAAAUGAAUCUGGAAACACUGGUUGUGAAGACACACAUUUACUUCUCUGGUUAUACGAAAGAACAGAAAUACAGAAAGAAACCAAAAUACAAUUGGGCUUUCUGAAGAAUAACUUCCUUUGAUGCACUCUGCAGAUGCUGAAGUCGGCUGCCUCUUCUUCAUCCCACCCCACCCGACCCCUGCCAAUACCUGCAGCUGCUGAAGGACAGAAGGACAGUUGAGUUUGUGGUACAACCAGUUUCCCCACCUUUACACUGAACUCUCUCUGUCUUUCCCCCUCUCCAGAUAAUGCUUGCCAUGGGCGACUGUCGAAUUAACCAGAAGUUCUAGACUCCCUUUGUGGCCCCAGGCUCUUUACGGCUCUGUGCAGACCUCACAAAACUCAAUCUCAAUCCUGCUAGAGUUCAGUCAGGGAAUCAGAAACAAAAGCAAGAGUCUGCUGGGAGACACACUGCAUGGAAAUGGCUCUGUUGCUAGAAUUCCUCCUCAGAGGGAGAAGCAUGUCUGCUCCCUCUUCCCAUGGUGGGAAACCAAUGAGUUUGCUAGGCUGAGGGGGUUAUAGCAGGAGCAUUAGUAGCCUGAGAGCAUCUGCUCUGGAAGGUCUGUUCUCAGCAUGGGUGAUGAUACCCCAUGACUGUGGAUUUUGGAGCUCCUCCUGCCCCAGACUUCCCACCUGGAUACUGACCCUAAACCCACAGAAUCAUGUGUGUGAACACGAGUUUGAACCCCGGCUGUUGGCAUUGUGUUGGGAAGUUAUGUAACCGGUGGGGAAGUAAGGCGUGGCUGGGAGGGAUGGAUUUUUAGGGGUGAAUCUUUGAGGAGUAGGAUCUGGCUCUACUUCCUGUUCUGUUUUCUGCUUCCUUCUACUUCAGCACACACUUCCAAUGCUUCAGAGCCGUUCUACCUUGUCUGCUCCACAGUGACGGACUAACAUUUCUGAAACCAUGAGCCAAACAAGCCUGUUGACUCUGCUGUUGGGCAUUUUGUUACAGCGAUGAGAAAAAGCUGACUGGUAUGAUGAAGAAAAAAAUUAAGAGGGAAACAAUAACAAACUGAGAACAUGUAAAGGAUGUGAGAGCUGGGGGAGGGGAGGGUAGAACUGAAACUUACCACUAUUUAAAAGUUCAAGACUGUGUGGUCAUACCUGUCAGUGUCUCCUUAGUCUCCUGGGAUAUCAACCAUUCUUAUUCUUUUAUCUCUACAACCUAGAUCUAACGUGUGUUCUACUGGCGCCUCCCAGUUUCUCUUCACAGACAUACCUGGGCAGCUGCACCUAACAAGCCUGCUUUGGUCUUUCUCCACCCCCUACAGCCCUGUGCACAGACUCACUGAAGGGAUACACUUUUCUCCAAGGUUUAUUCUGUCUUCUACAAAGGUUCUUCUGAAGACCAAGUUAUUCCUCCAUCAAAUAUUUAUGUAGAGGAUUGGCAGGUAGUGCUUGCAGAUAAACAGAUUAAAUUCUUUAUCUGAAGACUUUGACUUCUAGAUCAGGGGACAGAAUGUAACAAGGGGGCGGAACAAAACACAGACAUGAACGGUGUGUACAGAUUGGCAGAGUUGAGAAAGCUGUCCUGAGCUCUUCUGCUGGAAGCUGAAGGUUCAGAAGAAUCCUAGUGGAUGGAAGAACGUUUCAGGUUAAAUCAACUAGGUAAAAAAUGCAAGCAUUCUUGAAGAUGAGGAAAUAAUUCAGAGAUGGCGUGUGGAAUGGAUGUAGGAUAUAAAUGGUAAAAGAUUAGAUGGAUAAAAAGCCAGUCAGUGCCUUGCCUGGACCAAAUGGUUACACUUAAAAAUGGCUAACAUGGUAAAUUUUAUGUGUAUUUCAGCACAAUAAAAACAUAAAACUAAAAUGUUUCCAUGUGCCUUGGAUAGGUCAGUCUACUUCCUCUCUAGCCCAGGCAAGAACUGACCUGCUUUCUAUUGCUAUAGAUGGGUCUUGCCAGGUCCAGACCACCUUGUAAAUGGAGGCAUAACAAAACAAACUAUCAUGAAUUUGAAAAUGGUCCGUGUUCUGUGUGUCAGCAAUUGACCCUCUCAGUAUUGCAUGUAGUCCAUUGCACGGUGUGAAGAGACUCUGUUUGUCUUUUUGUUGUCUUCUCGGUCACUAAUUCAGUUGUUUUGAAGUGUAUCUGUUUAUGAAAUACAUUUAACUUUUAUAACAGUUAGGCUGCCAACUUAUUUACCCCAAAGCUGAAGUGAAGAGAGACAUAGAGGGAAUAAAUCAUGGGAAGUGAUAUCCCCUAGUCCCACGAAAGAAGUCUAACCUCAAAAUUUAGUCAGUGCCAAAAAUACAGUCUGAGCAGGGAGGCCUGCUGACUUCCCCAAGUUCUUCCUUUCCUCCCCCCUCCCAGACUGCUAACUGCUUUUCCCUUCCCAGUGCUUGGCCUGUGCGCAUGGCCAUCUUUGAAAGGCUGCAUUUCCUAGCUUCUCCUGCAGUCAUGGGCGACAUGGGACUAAGUUCUGGGAAGUAGGAUUUGAGUGGUGGUGCUUAUGCACCUCCAGGCCACCGCAUGGACGGUUGUCCCCUCCUCCAUCCCUUCUCUUCUAUCAUGGUGGGUAUAUGGACACGCUGGGUCCCUCUCAGAUCCAAACACCCAAGUCCAACACCUGAGGGAUGAUGGAGGUACAAGUCAAGAGGAGCCCAUGUCUCUGUGCAGAGGUCAAGAUUUCUAGUUUAUUUGAGCUGCUAUUAACUUGGUCUUUGCUCAGAUAACCACCACCACAUCAUCACACCACCACCAACAACCACCACCACCACCAUCACCAAUACCAUAAUAAUAAUAACAAAUAUGGUGAUGGUGGUAGUGGUGAUAGGUGAAAGAGCUUAGUUAAAGUCUUGAGGGAGUUCACAAUGUACUAGGAGAGAAAGAUACACACUCAGUAAUUAUGGUUCAGAGUGGAUCUGGGUAGUGGCUUUAUUUCAGAUAAAACAAAGCCUGGAGAAAGAGAUUUGAGGAGGAAGCAAUUCAUUUUGAUUGAAUUAGAAAGAAUGUCUAAAUAAGGUGGUAAGGGAUUCAGACAAUGAGUUGGUUCUGAUAAUCAGAAGAGAAUAAAUAAAUGCAUUCCAGACAGAACAGACUAUGUGAGGGCACAAAGACAUAGACAGACAUGGUACAGCCAGAGAACAACCAGCACAAAGGGCAGAAUGUAAGUGAAUGCAGAGAAAGACAAGUCAUGUUAAGUAGGGGUAAGAGUCUGACGGCCCUUGAAUCUGGCCCAAGGAACCUGGCUUUGGGUAAGUUGAAUUUGGAGUGUUUAUGGAAGAGACUGUCAGGAGAUGGCAGGAAGUGAUUCUGAGUCGGGAAGGAGGUGAGAGCUGAAGAUGUAGGUCUGUGCAUCAUGCAGAUCCAAAGUGCAGUAAGUAAGGGAGGACGUACAGAGUGAGCAGAGGGCCAAGGAGGAGAUGUUGCUGACCUCUUCAGGGGUGUGAGGAGGUGGCACUCACAGGAAAGGGGUUGACGGAUACCUGGACUUGGUGACACAGGUGGGGAGACCAAGGGGAGCCUGGGAAGUCAUAAAUGACCUCAGCUUACUUCCAGCUAACGCCAAGAGUAUUCUUUCAGGCCUCGCUGGCCCUUUUCCUAGGGUGUGUUUUAGAAGCAAAUCCUCCAAGCAUCUAUGAUCUUUGGCACUUUUUGGAUAGUUUCCGUGUGUUUUCCUCUCUCUCUCAGCUUGAGACUCCAUUUACUGAUGGAGCUAGAAUCUCAGGGUGAGGGCGACCGUCCACAGUGUGCUGAGGUGUGCUGCUAGGAGCUAUCCAUUGGCACAGAGUUACUAACUUCUGUAGCUGCCCCGCCUGGCUGCUGCUAACUCAGAUUCUAAGAUCCUUUCUGAAUGGGUGCAGGUGUACACAGGCUGGAUGCUUGUAUUUAUUUGAGACCAUGGGAAGAGUAUUUACAGCUCUAGAACUUUCCUCCAGACCAGCCAAUGUCUCUUACACAACUCCUAACCAACUCAACUCUAUGACCAAGCCCUAUUCCUUCACUCCCUUACAGUCCCUUCCUGAAAACAUGUCAAUAAACCUGCUUGAAAUCCUGGCCUCAGAA